UGGGGAAUAUUGGACAAUGGGGGCAACCCUGAUCCAGCCAUGCCGCGUGUGUGAAGAAGGCCUUUUGGUUGUAAAGCCCUUUAAGCAGGGAGGAGAGGCUAAUGGUUAAUACCCAUUAGAUUAGACGUUACCUGCAGAAUAAGCACCGGCUGACUCUGUGCCAGCAGCCGCGGUAAUACAGAGGGUGCGAGCGUUAAUCGGAAUUACUGGGCGUAAAGCGAGUGUAGGUGGCUCAUUAAGUCACAUGUGAAAUCCCCGGGCUUAACCUGGGAACUGCAUGUGAUACUGGUGGUGCUAGAAUAUGUGAGAGGGAAGUAGAAUUCCAGGUGUAGCGGUGAAAUGCGUAGAGAUCUGGAGGAAUACCGAUGGCGAAGGCAGCUUCCUGGCAUAAUAUUGACACUGAGAUUCGAAAGCGUGGGUAGCAAACAGGAUUAGAUACCCUGGUAGUCCACGCCGUAAACGGUGUCUACUAGCCGUUGGGGUCCUUGAGACUUUAGUGGCGCAGUUAACGCGAUAAGUAGACCGCCUGGGGAGU
rnacentral:rRNA from 1 species